rnacentral:lncRNA from 1 species
UGCAUGGAUGUUCCAGCUCCUUCCUGGGGACAGGCCCAACCAGGCCUGAUACAAGCCCAGGAGUGUUAGAGCAACAUGGGCCUUGGCCUAGAGGAACAAAGAGAGCUUGUGAAACUCCUGCCUUCAUCUGAGGUUCGGCACUGAAGUGGAAGAGGCUGAGACUACAGAGUUCAAGUGAGCUGUGUCUACAAAGUUGACAGGUUUCGAAUUACUGAAAUUAAACUAAGCUAUUCCUGAUUUAUAGCAGUGUAAACAAGAGGAAUUCAGCCCUGCUGAAGAUGUCUGACCUGAAAAACAUUAUGCAUUUUUCCAAUGCAGCUGUCUGAGUCAUUUUCCUUAUACUGUGUAAUACCUUAUUGUACCAACAGGCAGAGAGCUGCAUCUUAUAUAAUCAUCUCAUCUGAAUUCUAUAAGAUUUCCAACAGGGAGACUGAAUGAGCAGAGCAAGCCAAAAGAUAUGUAAUUAAAACUGA